GCCUAAGUUGAUAUGUGCAUAUAUUUGAGUUCCCUUGUCUAUCCAAAAAUAUUUUUGAAAGUUAGUACUCCAAAUAAAAUUCCCUUUCUUUUCUCUAGAACAAUAAAGAACAGGUUCUUUACUGAAACUUACAAUAUAGUAAGUGUUCAAUUAACGAAUCUUUCUCCUUUAUAUUUUUCUUCCUCUUAGGUCUCUUGCAACAUACAGUUUCUUACACUUAGUUAUCUACAGAAAACAACCAUAUAUUGAACCCCAUUCUAAAACAAUUCACAUUUUUUAUACUAUAUGUAUUCUUACUAUAAUAAUCUAAAACUAUUUAUUGAUGCAAACUCAGGAAUUCAGUGGAAGCAUGUCGAGUUCCUUCAUCAACAGGAAUAUAGAGUUUGAGUGUAUAUGAUUGACUAUAUUUAGAAAACUUAUUCUUUUGACUCAAGGCUAAUUUAUUUCCAUUCAUUUAACACACUUUGGGUAUAUUUUCAUUUAAAAGUAAAUUCCAUACCACUACUGUUUUAAAGCAUUACUCAAGGCACUGUUCCUAAGCCAUGUAAUCUAGAGUUUGCAGAGAUAAUUAUUAAUAAUACUGACAGCUGGUCCAUUUUCCAUGUAAUUGGAACAUUUUUAUUUAAGGAAACAAAACAAAACCACAAAAAAACAAACAAACAAGAAAAGCAAAAACAAACAAACAAAAAAACAAAACAAAACGAUAAAGGAAGAAGACAGAAACCAUGGCAUUACUACAAAGUAAUCCUAUGCCUCCCAGAGGUUCUCUGACUCACAUCUGCUUUGAGAAAUUCCUACAUCAAUGGCAUAAGAAUUAUUUACAUCAUUUGAAAGAUCGUCAUAAUACAUAGGAUGACCUAGGUCUGUAUUUUUAAGGAGUCCAUAGACAAUUCAAACAUGUUGCUAGUUUUGGAAGUCUGGGUCCUGUCUAUUAAAUAGAAGUAAUUCUAUACUCAAACAAUACAGGCAUGAGAUAUUGCCUUUCCUUAGCUCACUUGGAUUCUCCUUAAAUAUAUUGGUAGGUGUUACUAUAUUUCAAAGUCCAAGAUGUUCCUCAAUCUUAGUUGUGUCUUGUACAGUGGUGCUGCUCUUCAGCUAUGAUUUAGGGAAAACUAUCAUUUCCUGAAAAUUAUUUUUCACAAUCUUUCUUAGAUUUUUAAAUGCACUUUUUUUUUCAGUUUUAAGUACAAAAAACAAAGGUAGGCAAUUAUUAGGUUCUCUUGCAGCCAUCAAAAUUGCACAUAUUUGAUCAAUUUCUUUCCCGAGUCUCAGAAGCUUAUUGAUAGGUAGGAUAUGGCAACAUGUUAUAACACUUUGGAUUGUCCACAAUCAUGAGUUCAAUAUUAAAUGUGAGCUAUUCACUCACUAGCUCACUCUCUGUGCCUGAUCUCAUCUCUGUUGUUAUCAUGAUUUGUAUGUGUACAGUAGGGGUAGCCUAUUUUGAAAACAAAUGAAUUCAUCUCUAAAACCUUAGACAAUUAUAUGUAUGUGUAUCCUGUGAUGUUCUACCACUGAGAUAUAUGCCUUUGGUCAUUAAAAAAAAGAGAAAAUAAGAGAAAUUUAGAAUACAUAAAAAUUUCAGCUCUGACAUCUAUUGCUAUUAGGCUGGCAGCUUAGCUCGUAAGAAUUGCUGAAAAUUUAAACAAGCCAAAGGGUGAAUAUUCAAUAGAAGAGAAACAAACAUAGUGUGGAAGAUUGCAUUGACAUCACUGAAAUCAGAAUGGCUACUCCUCGAUAGAAGGGAUUUACACAAACCUAGUGAUGAAGCCUGCGGUAACAUCUACUGAAAUUAGAAAGUACUGGGAGGCAAGUGGGGGUGGUGGCACUGAUGAUCUCACUAACCACAUAGAGCGUUUCCUAAAAUAAGCAGACUUAAUCUUCACUGUUACGAGAAAUCAGUAAAUUAAUAUUAAUUUAGCUUGCUAGCCAUUUAUACAGCUGAAGUCCAUGGACAGAAUCACAGAAAGAUUCUCAGAGAUCAUUUUCUAGUGAGGAAAUUGCCCUUAGAAAUAUCCAUCAACUUGACUAAAUAUUUCAUGUCAACUGUUGGCUUAGGCACAGAAGCAGCUGAUGAUAGAUUACAAGAGAAUAGAGUCUCCCUUUACCUUUCCUUAAGAUUUAAUUAAAAAAAGGGAAGAGUUCAAAAAUGUGACGAUAUAAACUCAUUAAACAGAAAUUAAAUUGUUCAGUGAUGCAGAAAUCGAGCAAUGAAAAUAAGUUUAGGAGGCUGUGAUUAAGACUCGACAAAUUCUAUGAUACAUAAGAUUUUGACAUGAACAUUCUCAACUGCAUACAUAUAAUUUUUUAGUUGAAUGGCCCCAAAAAGAAACAUUUAAGGAAAAUUUCCACAUGUUAAAAAAAGGAUAGUAACUAAAAUAGCAUAUUAAUUAUUUUAAAUUAUGUUUCUUUAAAAAAUGCUAGAAAUGUCAUAUUUUCAUUAUGACAUCAAAAUACUUCAAAAUUUGAAUUGGUUUACUGAAUUCUCAGACAACCAAAUGUUUUUAAAUUAUUCGAACAUGUAAAGUACAUGACCUAAUAGACUUGGAGUUUCAUUGCAAAAAACAUACAAGUUCUACUAGAAAAAAAGUUUUACAGGUGAUUUCUAUACGAUAUAAAGUGGUAGAAACGUGUUACUGUUUCUAAACAGGCCACCAUUCUCUUCGAUUAAUGAGGUUAUAGCAGCUAGACAAUCAGACUUGGAAAAAUGAUUUGCAAAAUCUCAGUUAACAUCCAAGACCCAGUACUACUAAUUAUGUAAGAAAUAGGAGCUGGUUACAAUGCACCCCUCAUCUCAAACUGGUCUCAAUAACUCCCUUCAGUUCAUGGUUAAGAAAAUCCUAGAGAAGCCUUUCAUGUUACUGUGAGAUCAGCAAAGGUAUACUCAUGUGGGUUCACAUAUGAUGUGAACAAUGGACAAUAUAAGACCCAAAUCAAGAAUAUCCACUUGUCUACAUAAAAGUGGAGGACAUCUACAUUAUAAGAAAACAUGAUUGGUAACAGAUUCUAAUGUCAUGUUUUUUGUUUUUGUUUUUUUUAUAAAAUAACCAAGGGACUAGGAUUAUGUUUUUCCUCCUUUUUUCUUUCUAUCUCUUAAAAUCAGGUAUGAUAGGAGUCAGGGAUUACAGAGUAUGACAAUGUAAAAAAAUUAAUAUUUUUGUAGACUCCUAAAGAAUAAAAAAACAUUGAAUAUGCUUUUAAAAUGUAAUUAUCUUCUCAGUAGUUAUGAGGCUUAUUCUGCAUGUAUACCAGCAUGGGAUAAAGGAGUACUUUUUAAUGAUAAAGAGCUUAAAAGUCUAAGUAUAGACCUAGGUUUACCAAGAUUCAGAAAGAAGAAAGCAUCAAGAAGAAACAAGAAAAUGUGAAACAGACUCAUAAUCAAAGUCCAUCCGUUUAGCUCCCAGCACCUAUAGUGUAAUUUGCUAGCAUUUCUGAGCCACAGAUUUCUCAUCUGUUAUCAAAAGGUGAUAGGCAGUACAUUAGAUACACCUAAGAAAGUCUUCAUAAUAGCAUUGAUCUGAAACCCUGGUUUAAGUGUUGGACUGCCAUAUAUUCUGAACUUUUCCUUCGUGUUCUCUUCUAGGGGGCUUUGUUCAAUGAGUGGUAGGGAAGGGUAAGGGGGAAAUUUGAUACUGUUUUAAGUGCUGCUAAAGAAGAAAGUUGUAGAGAAGUAUCACAAAGGAAGAACGGAGAAUGUGUCUACCAUCUUGAUUCCAUUGAAGGCCGCCAUACAGGCCAUAGCCAAUGCUUGCCCUGAGUGGUUUAAAUAAUUUCAUAAAGGAUUUUAUACUCAAUGAAUUGAGGGCAAAGCAAUCACACUGGAACAAAAAUGUGCCAAUUUUUCCAAUAUGCAAAUUGUAAUGAUCGGUAAUUCAUAAAACUACUUUGAGAGCAAUUGAAUAUUUUAGUAUUGUAAUUUGCACUAUGAUAUUACGAUGUUCAGGCAAACUAAAAUACUCUGAAAUCUAAUGCCAAAUGUACAGUUCAUAGGUUCAUGGUACUUCGUAUAAGUGUUUCAUUGCAUUGCGACAGUUGUUUAAUAGCAUUAACUUUCCCUGGGUGUGUUGUUAUGAUGCAGAUCUAACAGGGUUAUUGUAAGCACACUAAUUAGUCAUCUGGGGUUUUAUAGAUAAAAUCAUACAUUGAUCAGAAAUCACUUUUCUACUUAUUUUUUUGUAGAGUAUUUUUCCACACUUGAAAAAACAUGAUUAUUUUAUAUCAAACAUCAGUUUUCCUUUAAAAUCUUAUUUUAGUAGCCAAUGCAUGUUUGAAAUAAGAUGUUAAAUAUUAUGUGCCAAUAGUAAGAUUGUGUUUGUAAGUGAAAAAUGCAUGCUAUAAUGAAUCAUACAGCUUUGGUGGCAUAUUCUACUGCCACCUUAUAUGCAAGCUUUCUCUUAACCUGUGUGCAUGGUCCACAUGCUUUCAAGAGUCCUUUUUUAAUAUUUACAAAGUGACAUGUGAUUUUUAGUGCUGAUGAGCCAGUGAGCCAAGAUGCAAUCCUGUUCUGCUUUCAUUUUUCUUCUUUACAUUAUGUUGUAAAUUUUCUCAGAAAACUUUUUCUUGGAGUUGUUGGCAAUAAACUACAAC
rnacentral:lncRNA from 1 species